UUGACAGCCCUGAAAACUGAGGUCCUCCAGUUAUCCACAGGAUAGGCACAGCCCUGGCAGUGUGAUAGCGUCACAUUCACAGACAUGAAUCUAUCACAGCUGGCAUGGCUUUCCUCAGACAUGGGGCUCUCCUCAGACAGGGUUGUGAGGGAAGUAUAGUUUCCUUGGCCCACUUAGUCCUUAAUCUCU
rnacentral:sRNA from 1 species